AGUGAGCGGGGAGGCCUCACAGAGAAAGGCACUGGAAGGCAACUACCAAAGACAUUGGAGUGUCCCGCCUACGGCGUGUGGAUAGCAUAGAAAACGUGUUCUGCGUCCCACCAAUCUUGACCUAUGCUGUGCCAAAGUGCUUCCAGUUAAGAUACGCUUUGGCAGACAUUGCAUAUUAUGCCCCUUUCUUAGAGUCAUGGGGUCAUGUUAGUGUCUAAAAGGUCCUAAGAAUUAGGACCUUUUGGCUUAAUGAUGACAGCAGUUAAACGUACUUAUUUGAUGAUAGGUUUCUGUUUGCUUUUCAUGGAACGCUUACAAAUCUCUCGCAGAACUUAGCACGG
rnacentral:lncRNA from 1 species